GGUUGUAGCUCGGUGCCAGAGCACUUGCUUUGCAUCCAGAAGGUUCCAGGUUCAAUCCCUGGCGUCACCA